ACUAGAGGAUAUGGGACAGCCUACGGUGGAGGAGGCUGAGCAGCCUGGAGCCCUAGCUCGGGAGUUCCUGGCAGCCACAGAGCCUGAGCCAGCCCCAGCCCCCGCCCCGGAAGAGUGGCUGGACAUUCUGGGGAACGGAUUGCUGCGUAAGAAGACACUGGUCCCAGGCCCAACAGGCUCUAGCCGCCCACUCAAGGGCCAGGUGGUGACCGUACACCUGCAGAUGUCCCUGGAGAAUGGCACCCGUGUGCAAGAGGAGCCCGAACUGGCUUUCACGCUUGGAGACUGCGAUGUUAUCCAGGCCCUGGACCUCAGCGUCCCGCUCAUGCAUGUGGGCGAGACAGCAAUGGUCACCGCUGACUCCAAGUACUGCUACGGUCCCCAGGGCAGGAGCCCAUACAUCCCCCCCCAUGCAGCCCUGUGCCUGGAAGUCACCCUGAAGACAGCAGAGGAUGGACCUGACCUGGAGAUGCUGAGUGGGCAGGAGCGCGUGGCCCUGGCCAACCGCAAGCGGGAGUGUGGCAAUGCCCACUACCAGCGUGCUGACUUUGUGCUGGCUGCCAACUCCUAUGACCUGGCCAUCAAGGCCAUCACCUCCAACGCCAAAGUGGACAUGACUUGUGAGGAGGAGGAGGAGCUGCUACAGCUGAAGGUCAAGUGUCUGAACAACCUUGCGGCAUCGCAGCUAAAGCUGGACCACUACCGAGCAGCACUGCGCUCCUGUAGCCAGGUGCUGGAGCACCAGCCAGACAACAUCAAGGCACUGUUCCGCAAGGGCAAGGUGCUGGCUCAGCAGGGUGAAUACAGUGAGGCCAUCCCCAUCCUGAGGGCGGCCCUGAAGCUGGAGCCUUCCAACAAGACGAUCCAUGCGGAGCUCUCAAAGCUGGUAAAGAAGCGUGCUGCACAGCGGAGCACAGAGACUGCCCUGUACCGAAAGAUGCUAGGCAACCCCAGCCGGCUGCCUGCCAAGUGUCCGGGCAAGGGUGCCUGG
rnacentral:lncRNA from 1 species